rnacentral:lncRNA from 1 species
GGCACUGGGCAAGAGUCAGUAGCUCUGUGGAUACGCAUGUGGUCAGCAAAGACGAGCAGAAAUGAACCCAUGCUCGGUGCGGGCUGUCCUGCUUUCCUGAGCUCAGCUGCUCGAGUGUGUUUCAAGAAGAAUAAUAGUAAAAGCUGAAUGCCUCUGCCACUGAUCGCCGUCCCCUCAUGUCCUGAUUUAGUGAGAGCCACAGAGUGAUCCUGGCCACAUCUCAGAGUUAUAGGAAAGAUGAGCUAAUGAUGUCAUCCAGGGAGGUUGCCUGGCCAAACAGGGCCUCAUGGUGAGAAACAAAUUGCCAAAGGGGCGGAGAACAGUAUCUGCUGGUCAGAGGAUUCUCUCUCCGGGUCCUGAGCUCCAAGACCUGCAGGAACCCACUGCAGUCCGUGUCGGGCUGCAGACACUACCUGCAGCUUUUUACCUCUCCAGUCCCACAUACGCAGGAGAAUUGAUGUAUUUUCACACGGGAUGCCCCCUGACAGUUAAAAGACUGUUUGGCAAUCAAGGACACCAUACUGAUUCCAGCUGGGAACCAAGAUGAGUAAGAUGCAAUCCCUACCUCCAAGGAGGCCAAGACGGGAACAAGAACCUCUAGGUAUCAACUUCCACUUCUCUUCUCUGGAAAAUUUGAGGGCUGUCUCCAAACGGUGCUUCGAUUGCGAGUCAGAGGGAGAAGAAUGUUCAGGUCCCGUAAGCAGAAGCCCCCACAGAGUGUGUUUGCUGGUAACCAGCUUUUCUCAGGUUGUAAUGACUGAAGGUGAAUGAAGGAUUGAAGGCUUCGGGUGGAGAAUUAUCAAUCAGAUAGGGUGAAUAAACUCAAUUCCUCCAAAACACGAGCUAUUUCAAAGGUCACUGUCUUAAGAAAAAAUGUUGAUCAAUGGUCUCUUUCAGGAAAUCAACUCCGUUGAAAUAUAAUUUAUACUGCUUUUUACUUUUGUCUUCUUUCAGUGAAUUAAACUAUAGCCAC